rnacentral:lncRNA from 1 species
GUGAAAAGAAAGAGAUGCCGAAUGCCGGGUGAUUGUCUGCCGCUUGCUGUGCAUUCUCAUUCUAGGGAGGAUGGCAUAAUUUAUAACCCAGCACAUGGAUAGAGGAACUGUAAAUUGUAGUCUGGAUGUCCCCGGCGCUGUCGACGAAGGAACUGAUGGGCUAGGCUCACAGGCAGAAGGAAUUUUCCUUGUCUUGGAUGAGACUUUUGACUUGGACUUUUGGGUUAAGGAUUUACAGAAAGCGUGGUGCUGGCAUCUGAUCAGCUUCUGGGGUGGCCUCAGGAAGCUUACAAUCAUGGUGGCAUUUGAAGUGGAAGCGAGAGAGAGAAGAGGAGAUGCAACACACUUUUAAACAAGAUUUCAGGAGAACUCAUUCACUAUGAUUCUACAUCUCCAUCCAUGGGCCACUGUUUCAGCAACCUCAGCCAGUGCAACACAACCUCAGCCAAGAAGAGUAUGCAGAGAAAGGAGUCCCCUACCUGCCACAAAACUGUUGUCUGAAAACUGUCUCAUAUUGUCUCAAGUUGUCAUUCAUUGUGAAUUAGACCUGUUUAACAUGUAAUCUGCAACAUGCUUCACUGUCUAAUUUUCCAGAGCCCCUCAUAUAAGGAACUGUAUUAUUGGUAUAAUCAUCAUGGUGAAGAAGUUGGUAUGUGGGGGAGAGAUGACAGAAACAGAGAGUAAGUCAGAGCUGGCUGCCUGACAGAUAAAAAGGAAAUGACCAAAAAAAAAAAAAAAGACACAGAAGAAUACUUUGUUGUCCACACAGAAAAGGGAAGUGUAGGUAAGACAGCAGUAGACUAAGAUUCUUAAGACUCAAGUUCUAGUCUUAUUUAUUAGCUAUGGGAGGCCUUGAGGGAGUUCUAGAAUUAAGUGAUCUCUCUUUAUAAAAUAGGAACAGUAAUAACUUCCUGGCUAACUCCCUGGCUGUCUCACAAUGCUGUAGUAGUAAGAAAUAAUUUUAUAAUUAAAGACUAUUUUAGGGCUGAUUACAUUUUUGGGCAGUGGCUCAUACAUGUAAUUUCAACAUUUUGGGAGGCCAAGGUGGGCGGAUUGCUUGAGCCCAGGAAUUCAAGACCAGGCUGGGCAACACAGACCUUGUCACUACAAAAGAAAAAAACAUUAGCUAGGCGUGGUGAUGUAUGCCUGUGGUCCCAGCUACUCAGGAAGCUGAGACAGGAGGAUCACCUGAGCCUGGGAGGUCGAGGCUACAGUGAGCCAUGAUCACACUACUGCACUCCAGCCUGGGAAACAGAGUGAGACUCUGUCUCAAAAAAAAAAAAAAAGGAAUAUUUUACACUUCAAGGUUCUAUACAAAUGUAAAAUAUCAUUCUAUUACUUAUUUAUAAUGCUGAUUAUUCUUUAAAUGACUUUAAAAUGUUAAUCUCUGCUUGAGCCUACGGAGAAGUAUGUAACAAAUUUGUGAAGGAUUGGCAUUAAACAUAGUCAAAAUAAAACAUAGAAAUUAUGGUAAAUAAUUUAACUGGUAAAAUAAUCUAAGUGGUAGUUCUCAGGUAAGUGGAAAUUCGAUUAGCUGAUUGUUUAGGAUUCUUGGUUAUAAGUGACAGAGACCUGACUAAAAGUACAUGAAGCACAUAACUGAGAAGGUUGUGGUAUGGCUCAGCAGAAAUGGGAAAAUCUUGGGACUGGUUCGUGUUUUAUUUACAUUAUCUUUGUUCCCAGGCAGUCUCUGCAUGUAAGUGGCAAAGAUGACUGUCUGAAAAUAUAUACCUACUUUUUUAAAGGGCUAUCUCAAGCCAUUCUGGAGAAGCACCAAAAGCCACUUUGCUUAUACUGGGAGAAUAGUUUGCUUUCCCUAAUUUGUGAUGAGUGAAACACUGAACAGAGACAUAGAAUAAUAUUCUGUAGUUCAGGGUUGGUGUAAUAUGGCCAGUGGGCGGAAUCUGGUCCUCAGACUGAUUUUGCAAAUAAUCUUAUAGAAACACAGCAACACCCAUUCAUUACAUGUUGUUUAUGGUUGCUUUGGGGUUACAAUGGCAGAGUUGAGUAGUUGUGACAGAGAUCACUAGGCUCACCACAUCUGAGAUAUGUACUGACUGACCCUGUACAGAAAGUUUGCUGCUCUUAGAGGAAUGUGUGUUUCUAGUGUCAGCAAUAAACUUCUUGGAUUUGUUUUGUUUUCUCAUCUUUACAUGAUAGUUGCAGACUAGUUGAUCCUUGUGACCUGUUUUUGAAUGCCACUGUGUAUUCUGUCAGGGCCCUCUGAUUCUGUUUCUUAUGGUGCUGAAUGCACAAUUUAAUGCCCUGGAAUUUCCUUCUGUCUUCUGCUAAACUCAUGCCUCUUCAGAUAGUUAAAAUCCUGUUCUACCUUAGAAGUCUCCAGAGUUAUUUUCCUAAAUUAAGAAGAACUGGCUUUGAAGUUACUCAUUAUGCCACACACAAUGGUUGAAAAGAGCAUCUCUUAUGUACUGUGUAUAUUUCAGCAUCCACUCAGCUUCUUAGGUAGAAAAGGAAGAGUCUUCCACAGUGUAUUUUAUCCAUAUUUGGGUCAGAAACUCUUCUUUACCACGGAGCGUGAUGGAAGAAAGAUAUGGGAUGGUAACAGUAGGCCAGGGAUGUAAUAAUCACAAAAUUUGAGAUAUUUUGUGACUGGUGACUCACGCCUGUGAUCCCAGCAUUUUGGGAGGCCAAAGCGGGCGGAUCACCUGAGGUCAGGAGUUCAAGACCAGCUUGGCCAAUGUAGUGAAACCUCAUCUCUACUAAAAAAAUAUAAAAAUUAGCUGGGUGUGGUGGUGCACACCUGU